AUUGAACGCUGGCGGCAGGCCUAACACAUGCAAGUCGAACGAGUGGCGGACGGGUGAGUAAUGUCUGGGAAACUGCCCGAUGGAGGGGGAUAACUACUGGAAACGGUAGCUAAUACCGCAUACCAUCGGAUGUGCCCAGAUGGGAUGAGCUAGUAGGUGGGGUAACGGCUCACCUAGGCGACGAUCCCUAGCUGGUCUGGGAGGAUGACCAGCCAUACUGGAACUGAGACACGGUCCAGCCCCCCACGGGAGGCAGCAGUGGGGAAUAUUGCACAAUGGUCGCAAGCCGGAUGCAGCCAUGCCGCGCGUAUGAAGAAGGCCUUCGGGUUGUAACGUACUUUCAGCGAGGAGGCGUUACUCGCAGAAGAAGCACCGGCUAACUCCGUGCCAGCAGCCGCGGUAAUUC
rnacentral:rRNA from 1 species